CCAUCAGGAUUCUAAUGCAGUGUUAAUGGGGUCUUUCAGAAAUCAUGAAGAUAAGUUUCGUGAGUGACACAACUGGAGCCAUUAGCAAACUCAUCCAAGAGGAAUCAUCCAUUAGAGGCUAGUGCCUGCACCAUCUCAGUGCAGAGGAGCAUGAGGAGCGGCACAAGCAUUCUGUUUGUGACCACUGCAGAGAGACACCUACAAAUAGCUUCUGAACUGCCACACUUUCCUCCUGCAGGCACUCAGCCCUCAGGUGUGUUUGUCACCUUCAGCAACAGAUGAAGCAGACAGUGACUCCACCAGCAUGAGUAUGCAAGAAGUCAUCUGCUCUACAACCAGUGCUGCUCCAGCAGAUCGCAAGUAGAGAGAAGACAGUUGGACAAGCAAGGACAGUGGGAGAGUGGCUGGGGAGUAGGCACUGCAGGAGAGUGGACAUGAGCCCUGGAGGCAAUGCUGAGAUGGCACCAGCAGCUCAGGAGAGUCUCAGGCUGCUCUGGCACAGGAGGAAAACAAUGAACAAUGAAUUUCUUCUUUCCAGGAAGAAACCUGGGAGGUUUUUUUCUGCUCUGUUGAAUAUGGGAUUAUAAAUUUUUUUUUUAUUGCAUAUAGAGCAUCUCUUUCAAAUGGAUAACUUCUGAACCUGGAACUUUUCAUUACCAACUU
rnacentral:lncRNA from 1 species